GGAUCCAGACUUUGAUUAUGGCUCAGGAUGAACGCUAGCUACAGGCUUAACACAUGCAAGUCGAGGGGAAACGACAUCGAAAGCUUGCUUUUGAUGGGCGUCGACCGGCGCACGGGUGAGUAACGCGUAUCCAACCUGCCCACCACUUGGGGAUAACCUUGCGAAAGUAAGACUAAUACCCAAUGACGUCUCUAGAAGACAUCUGAAGGAGAUUAAAGAUUUAUCGGUGAUGGAUGGGGAUGCGUCUGAUUAGCUUGUUGGCGGGGUAACGGCCCACCAAGGCGACGAUCAGUAGGGGUUCUGAGAGGAAGGUCCCCCACAUUGGAACUGAGACACGGUCCAAACUCCUACGGGAGGCAGCAGUGAGGAAUAUUGGUCGAUGGGCGAGAGCCUGAACCAGCCAAGUAGCGUGCAGGAUGACGGCCCUAUGGGUUGUAAACUGCUUUUAUAAGGGAAUAAAGUGAGUCUCGUGAGACUUUUUGCAUGUACCUUAUGAAUAAGGACCGGCUAAUUCCGUGCCAGCAGCCGCGGUAAUACGGAAGGUCCGGGCGUUAUCCGGAUUUAUUGGGUUUAAAGGGAGCGUAGGCCGGAGAUUAAGCGUGUUGUGAAAUGUAGACGCUCGACGUCUGCACUGCAGCGCGAACUGGUUUCCUUGAGUACGCACAAAGUGGGCGGAAUUCGUGGUGUAGCGGUGAAAUGCUUAGAUAUCACGAAGAACUCCGAUUGCGAAGGCAGCUCACUGGAGCGCAACUGACGCAGAAGCUCGAAAGUGCGGGUAUCGAACAGGAUUAGAUACCCUGGUAGUCCGCACGGUAAACGAUGGAUGCCCGCUGUUGGUCCGAAUAGGUCAGCGGCCAAGCGAAAGCAUUAAGCAUCCCACCUGGGGAGUACGCCGGCAACGGUGCAACUCAAAGGAAUUGACGG
rnacentral:rRNA from 2 species